rnacentral:ncRNA from 1 species
CCUGUUAUUCCGUUAGCAGAGCCUAGGGAGACAUGCAUGUUUAGUAAUGAAUGUGUAUGAAGCUUUCCCGACACCGAAGUCCGUCCCAGGAGGAGUGAAUGCCGCGAGGUUGCAGCAACCAAUCCAAGCAUCAUG